GCCAUGUGGAGAGUUUAUAGGCCUCCUCACCAUUACAGUAUCAUCGGCACUGAUUCAUCAGCGCAUUUCGCUCCCACUUUACUCUCUGCUUUGCUCUCUUGAACUCCAGGCUGAGGUGUACUCGCUUCGUUUGAAAAACAAAGGCACUCCCAAGACCAAAAGUUUGUUAGCCUGAAAAUCAAAGUCGGAAAUGGGAUAUAUAGUGGUGCUAUCGUUGCCGGUGAUACUGUUCAUCCUGAUCGUAGCUCUUGCCUUUUACCUUCUUGGUAGGGCAAAUGGCCGGAGAGAAGCAGUUAUUGCUGGACGUCCUCCGGUUCCGGCGCCUCCAUUCCAACCCCACGAGAAGCCAGCCGAGCAGGUCUAGGGGAUAAAUAUCCUUUGUAAUGAAUUAAUUGUUAAUUUCUGUGUUGUAGAUUUGAAAUAAUUAAUUAGUUCCAUCCCUUGUUAUAUUUCAUCAAGAUUUUUUUGAGUUGAAUGGUGUUAGACUUUAUUGAUAACUAAUAAACAGAUUAAUGAAUACAUUUCUCAGAUU